rnacentral:rRNA from 1 species
CCUACGGGAGGCAGCAGUGGGGAAUAUUGGGCAAUGGGCGCAAGCCUGACCCAGCAACGCCGCGUGAAGGAAGAAGGCCCUCGGGUUGUAAACUUCUUUUAACAGGGACGAAGAAAGUGACGGUACCUGGUGAAGAAGCAACGGCUAACUACGUGCCAGCAGCCGCGGUAAAACGUAGGUGGCAAGCGUUAUCCGGAUUUACGGGGUGUAAAGGGCGUGGAGGCGGGAGAGCAAGUCAGACUUGAAAUUCCAGGGCUCAACCCUUGAACUGCUUUUGAUACUGUUCUUCUUGAGGGAGGGAGAGGCCGGCGGCAUUCCGUCUGUAGCGGUGAUAUGCGUAGAUAUACGGCGGAACCCCAGUGGCGAAGGCGGCCUGCUGGACAUUAACUGACGCUGCGGCGC